UUAAAUUGAAGAGUUUGAUCAUGGCUCAGAUUGAACGCUGGCGGCAGGCCUAACACAUGCAAGUCGAACGGUAACAGGAAGCAGCUUGCUGCUUCGCUGACGAGUGGCGGACGGGUGAGUAAUGUCUGGGAAACUGCCUGAUGGAGGGGGAUAACUACUGGAAACGGUGGCUAAUACCGCAUAACGUCGCAAGACCAAAGAGGGGGACCUUCGGGCCUCUUGCCAUCAGAUGUGCCCAGAUGGGAUUAGCUAGUUGGUGAGGUAACGGCUCACCAAGGCGACGAUCCCUAGCUGGUCUGAGAGGAUGACCAGCCACACUGGAACUGAGACACGGUCCAGACUCCUACGGGAGGCAGCAGUGGGGAAUAUUGCACAAUGGGCGCAAGCCUGAUGCAGCCAUGCCGCGUGUAUGAAGAAGGCCUUCGGGUUGUAAAGUACUUUCAGCGGGGAGGAAGGUGUUGUGGUUAAUAACCGCAGCAAUUGACGUUACCCGCAGAAGAAGCACCGGCUAACUCCGUGCCAGCAGCCGCGGUAAUACGGAGGGUGCAAGCGUUAAUCGGAAUUACUGGGCGUAAAGCGCACGCAGGCGGUCUGUCAAGUCGGAUGUGAAAUCCCCGGGCUCAACCUGGGAACUGCAUUCGAAACUGGCAGGCUUGAGUCUUGUAGAGGGGGGUAGAAUUCCAGGUGUAGCGGUGAAAUGCGUAGAGAUCUGGAGGAAUACCGGUGGCGAAGGCGGCCCCCUGGACAAAGACUGACGCUCAGGUGCGAAAGCGUGGGGAGCAAACAGGAUUAGAUACCCUGGUAGUCCACGCCGUAAACGAUGUCUACUUGGAGGUUGUGCCCUUGAGGCGUGGCUUCCGGAGCUAACGCGUUAAGUAGACCGCCUGGGGAGUACGGCCGCAAGGUUAAAACUCAAAUGAAUUGACGGGGGCCCGCACAAGCGGUGGAGCAUGUGGUUUAAUUCGAUGCAACGCGAAGAACCUUACCUGGUCUUGACAUCCACAGAACUUUCCAGAGAUGGAUUGGUGCCUUCGGGAACUGUGAGACAGGUGCUGCAUGGCUGUCGUCAGCUCGUGUUGUGAAAUGUUGGGUUAAGUCCCGCAACGAGCGCAACCCUUAUCCUUUGUUGCCAGCGAUUAGGUCGGGAACUCAAAGGAGACUGCCAGUGAUAAACUGGAGGAAGGUGGGGAUGACGUCAAGUCAUCAUGGCCCUUACGACCAGGGCUACACACGUGCUACAAUGGCGCAUACAAAGAGAAGCGACCUCGCGAGAGCAAGCGGACCUCAUAAAGUGCGUCGUAGUCCGGAUUGGAGUCUGCAACUCGACUCCAUGAAGUCGGAAUCGCUAGUAAUCGUGGAUCAGAAUGCCACGGUGAAUACGUUCCCGGGCCUUGUACACACCGCCCGUCACACCAUGGGAGUGGGUUGCAAAAGAAGUAGGUAGCUUAACCUUCGGGAGGGCGCUUACCACUUUGUGAUUCAUGACUGGGGUGAAGUCGUAACAAGGUAACCGUAGGGGAACCUGCGGUUGGAUCACCUCCUUACCUUAAAGAAGC
rnacentral:rRNA from 19 species